AGGCCCAGCAGCGGCGUCUCCUCAUCCCAUCGGCGCCGUCCACUCCAUCAACCACAGCAGCGCCGCCUUCAACUAGCCACUGAUCCCUCGUCGCCCUCUGCAAACCGCCGAUCUGCCCUCCACGACAGUCUCCAUCUCGGCGGCGCUCCUCUCAGCCAUCAACAUCCAUGGACAACAAUCGCCAGAUCUGUCACUGGAAGAAGGGAAGAACGACAAACUAUAACUGAAAAAAAGAAGACCGAAACAGAUCUGAAGGAAAGAAAGAAAUAAAAUCAACUGCCUUUUGUGCGUUUUUCUCCUCUUUGCAGGUGGCGGCGAUUCUCACCGCUGGAAGGGAAUGGAGGAAGAGAAGAAGCCGAGACAGACCCACAUGGUUUCUGGUAUUUUUUUCGGCGGCGCGUGAACCCACGCGCCGCCAGUGGCGAGCUGCCCAGAAGAUGCUCCCAGCACUGUUCCAGCGGGUUGCAGGAGUCCUUCCCUGCAAUUUCUAGAAUUUUAG
rnacentral:lncRNA from 1 species